rnacentral:rRNA from 1 species
UACGUAGGGUGCAAGCGUUUGUCCGGAAUUAUUGGGCGUAAAGGGCUCGUAGGCGGUUUGUCGCGUCGGGAGUGAAAUCCACUGGCUUAACUGGUGGCUUGCUUUCGAUACGGGCAGACUGGAGGUAUGCAGGGGAGAACGGAAUUCCUGGUGUAGCGGUGAAAUGCGCAGAUAUCAGGAGGAACACCGGUGGCGAAGGCGGUUCUCUGGGCAUGUCCUGACGCUGAGGAGCGAAAGUGUGGGGGAGCGAACAGG